GACACUGAAAUCAAGGCCUGCAUGGCACAAAAAUUAAGACAUCCGGAGACGAGCAGAGAAGGAAAAAUGGGAACCAUCUGGAGGAGACCAAGAAGAUGAGGGAUGCGACGAUGCAGAAGUUACAGAAAAGUUCAAAGUUUGUUUAAAGGAAUAGUUUGACAUUUUGGGAGUUAGAUAAGACUGACACCAUUUUCAUGUCUGUUAAUUAACCCUCCUGUUGUCCAAGGAUGGAAGGAGAAAAGGUGAAGAAGGGAAUGAAGGAAAGGAGGAAUACUAUAUAUCAUGUAUUUAUGUUUAAGAUAAAAUAACAUGUUUUCAAUCAGA